rnacentral:rRNA from 1 species
AGCGAACGCUGGCGGCAGGCCUAACACAUGCAAGUCGAACGGAUCCUUCGGGAUUAGUGGCGGACGGGUGAGUAACACGUGGGAACGUGCCCUUUGGUUCGGAACAACUCAGGGAAACUUGAGCUAAUACCGGAUGUGCCCUUCGGGGGAAAGAUUUAUCGCCAUUGGAGCGGCCCGCGUCUGAUUAGCUAGUUGGUGAGGUAACGGCCCACCAAGGCGACGAUCAGUAGCUUGUCUGAGAGGAUGAUCAGCCACACUGGGACUGAGACACGGCCCAGACUCCUACGGGAGGCAGCAGUGGGGAAUCUUGCGCAAUGGGCGAAAGCCUGACGCAGCCAUGCCGCGUGAAUGAUGAGGGUCUUAGGAUUGUAAAAUUCUUUCAGCGGGGACGAUAAUGACGGUACCCGCAGAAGAAGCGCCGGCUAACUUCGUG